UGAUAUAGACAAGACAGGUAGACAGAUAACAACUCUGCUAAUAUAACAUCUGUUGUCCCUUAACCAGUCCCUGCCCAUUAGCAACUCUGUGGCUGACAUUCUGGGCUCUCUUGCAGAGGCAUCUUCCAAGUGAGGCUCUAAAAAGCAAGAUGUGGUCUUUGCUACCCCAAAGAAAUAGCAGAUGCCUGAAUCGCUUGAGCUAUGCAGCAACAUGUCAAACCUGGAGAGCUGGGUUGAGCUGGUUGCCAAAUGACUGGCCCGUCUUACAUGAGUGCAAAGUUGUGAAGUCUUAUGCCAGAAGAGGAUCCUUCAUAGGUCCUAUAUGGCUUGUCAAGUAGAUACAUGCAGGGCUAUAUAUAUUUCAGUUUAUUCUCCCUAUCUGGUUCCCUCAUGCAGGGUAGGAAUGAAGCAGAAGAUUCAGGAAAGGACAAGAGAGGAGUAUUUUUCUGGGAUACCGGGCCCAACCUCAUGAAAUCCAGGUGGAGGAAACAACUUCCCACAUGUGGACGCCAUCUAUUUUACUACCACCAUCAGUUGAAAAAUUUGGCCUUGUUCGCUCAGAAGAUUUAAGGGGCAAAACAGAAGUUUUUGAUAUUGGAAAGAAGAACAAAGAGGAAGCUAAAAUAUCAAAGCACAAGAAAGGAAAUUUUAUAAUUGCAUUUAAAAUGGAAUUUGGAGAAAUUAAAAAUAAUAAAAGGAAAAGAAAUUGAAGAGAAAGUGUUUUUUUAUGUGGAUUUAAAACAUUUUUGCAAAUGUGUUACUUCGUUGUCUUGGGAAUUGU